UAAAGGCUUAGUUGAGUUGAGUAGCGCACUUGGUUCGAAAUAGUUAGUGGUGUUGUGUUUGAUCCUCUUGCUUUGAAGCUAGCAUCAUCCUUCUAACCAUAUAGUUUUGCUCCUCAUCAAGCUCCUCUUCAUAUUCAUCUUCUUCCCCUUCGACUUCACAACAAAUUUCAACCUCAUCUUCCUCUUCUCUUGCAACAACAUUCACCAUCUUCCUCGAAGAAAAAUCACUAGAACGAUGCCCUUGCUGAUUGCACUUGAAACACUUCCCAUGGAUUGGUCUAGAAUAAGGAUUGGCAGCUUUAGGUGUCUCUUUCUCCUUCCCUUCAUUCAUGGGACGCUUUCCGGCUGCUUUCUCCUCUUGGACAAGCUCUUUGCUAGUAUAGUUGCUACCCUACUUCUCAUAAGAUCCACCAUAAUUAUUUGCUUUAGCUCUGGCAACUAGACUGGCAGUUUUACAAGAAUCAAAACUCCUCCUUUGCAUCAUCUCCAUCUUCAAGGCCAUAAUUUUAGCCUCGGAUAAGGUCCCCAAUACUGGAACUCCAAUGCGAUCCUUGAUGAACGGCUUUAAUCCCUCCAAAUUACUUGCAAUCCAUUGCCCUUCAGAUUUAUGAAGGUUGUUUCUUUUAGCAAACCUCAUGAAUUUAGCUAUGUAUUCAUGAACCAUUCGGCUACCUUGUUGGCAUCUUUAGUAUUGUUGGAAGAGAAUUUACUCAUAAUCUGGAGGUAAAAACUCUUAAUGUAGCAAAUACUUCAUCUGAUACCAAGUUCAAACCGGUCCCUUACCUUCUCGCUCCCUCCUAGAUUGCAAUCACUCUCACCAAGCAGAGGCUCUACCCUUCAAACAAAUCUGGUAUGUAUUUUUUCUUAUCAUUUUCUUCUUCUUCUUCUUCU
rnacentral:misc_RNA from 1 species